ACCACCGAGUCCGCAGCUUCAUUCCCAGAUGCCCCAAAGCAGAGGGUGGCGAAUCUAAUCACUCACAAGUUGGAUGACAUUAGCCCGUGACAUGCUGGGCGUGACGGAAACCAGCCAAAGCUGGCCAUAGCUCCGCCUCAGAGACUGAGAUGUCCAAGAUCGAGCUCCCUCGGCUGCCACCGCCGAAGUCCGGGCCUCUUACUUUAAGUACCCUUUCCAUCUCCCGAUCGCCUGCGAAAGAAAGUUGAAGGAUUCCACGCUUCCUUUCCUUCCAAGAUUCCUACCGAAAUAUGGCAAGAAAAGGAGACGAAUUUAAAGAGAUUUAGGUUUUCCAGUGACUUCGAGUCUCUUGCUUUCUCUCGUUGUUUCGGGUUCGAUUUCGGAGGUAUG
rnacentral:lncRNA from 1 species